CAGUAGCCGCGGUAACACGUAGGUCCCGAGCGUUGUCCGGAUUUAUUGGGCGUAAAGCGAGCGCAGGCGGUUAGAAAAGUCUGAAGUGAAAGGCAGUGGCUCAACCAUUGUAGGCUUUGGAAACUGUUUAACUUGAGUGCAGAAGGGGAGAGUGGAAUUCCACGUGUAGCGGUGAAAUGCGUAAAGAUGUGGAGGAACACCAGUGGCGAAGGCGACUCUCUGGUCUGUAACUGACGCUGAGGAGCGAAAGCGUGGGGAGCGAACAGGAUUAGAUACCCCUGUAGUCCUUGUCUCUUAUACA
rnacentral:rRNA from 1 species